rnacentral:rRNA from 1 species
CCCUUAGAGUUUGAUCCUGGCUCAAAUUGAACGCUGGCGGCAGGCCUAACACAUGCAAGUCGAACGGUAACAGGAAGCAGCUUGCUGCUUCGCUGACGAGUGGCGGACGGGUGAGUAAUGUCUGGGAAGCUGCCUGAUGGAGGGGGAUAACUACUGGAAACGGUAGCUAAUACCGCAUAAUGUCGCAAGACCAAAGAGGGGGACCUUCGGGCCUCUUGCCAUCGGAUGUGCCCAGAUGGGAUUAGCUUGUUGGUGGGGUAACGGCUCACCAAGGCGACGAUCCCUAGCUGGUCUGAGAGGAUGACCAGCCACACUGGAACUAAGACACGGUCCAGACUCCUACGGGAGGCAGCAGUGGGGAAUAUUGCACAAUGGGCGCAAGCCUGAUGCAGCCAUGCCGCGUGUAUGAAGAAGGCCUUCGGGUUGUAAAGUACUUUCAGCGGGGAGGAAGGGAGUAAAGUUAAUACCUUUGCUCAUUGACGUUACCCGCAGAAGAAGCCCCGGCUAAAUCCGUGCCAGCAGCCGCGGUAAUACGGAGGGUGCAAGCGUUAAAUCGAAUUACUGGGCGUUAAGCGCACGCAGGCGGUUUGUUAAG